AGAUUCAAAGUUAUUUCGAUUUCUCGUGGUGUUACAGGGAAAAGGAGAUGGAUAUAAUUAAGAUUUGGUGGAGAUCGGUGUUUUUAGAUCUGGAUUUGAGAAAGGUGGAGAUGGGUAUUUAAAAGAUAGACGAAAAUUAAUGAAGGUCAUGGAUUAAUUAGAAUCUCAUAUGUGAAAUUUUGGAUUGUAAUUGAGUGGAUUGCAUUACUUGGUGUUACGGUUACGCUUAGAUCCAGACGAAGGAAGAAAGAAGGUCGGUGGUCUGUUGGAGAUGAAGAACUCCAAUAUCUAUGCUAUUUUUAUCCAUUUCUCGGUUGGGUUAAGGGUACUGCUAAACGUGUUAUGGUGCCUAACACUUUAUCUAAGUCUUCGCCGUCGUUUUUGUUUUAAGCCUUGUGAAUUUCGAUAGUCCAUCAAGAUUGCGGAUAUGGCGUUAUUUCAGAAGUCUGUCUACCGAAAACCACCAGAUGGACUUCAUGAGAUCUCUAACAAUGUUUAUGAGUGUUCGAUCGCUGCUAAAGCUUGGAAUGGAGGACUGGGAUGAAAUUGUGGAAAGUGGCAAUGGGAAGAACUAAUGAUGUUGGGGAUUAUGGCAAGUGGCAAUGGGAAGAACUAAUGAUGUUGGGGAUUAUUUAAGGUGUUUACGUUUUAUGGAAAUGAUGUAGUAGUUGAAGUUCUUGAUAUGUCCAGUAUCUUGCUAAGUAUUCUAAACUAAUAGUAAUUGGUUUUU